AGUGAACGCUGGCGGUAGGCCUAACACAUGCAAGUCGAACGGCAGCACAGGAGAGCUUGCUCUCUAGGUGGCGAGUGGCGGACGGGUGAGGAAUACAUCGGAAUCUGCUCAGUCGUGGGGGAUAACGUAGGGAAACUUACGCUAAUACCGCAUACGACCUUCGGGUGAAAGAGGGGGAUCGCAAGACCUCUCGCGAUUGGAUGAGCCGUUGUCGGAUUCGCUAGUUAGGGGGGUAAUGGCCCACCAAGGAGACGAUCCGUAGCUGGUCUGAGAGGAUGAUCCGGCACACUGGAACUGAGAAACGGGCCAGACCCCUAAGGGAGGCAGCAGUGGGGAAUAUUGGACAAUGGGCGCAAGCCUGAUCCAGCCAUACCGCGUGGGUGAAGAAGGCCUUCGGGUUGUAAAGCCCUUUUGUUGGGAAAGAAAUCUUUCAGGCUAAUACCCUGGGAGGAUGACGGUACCCAAAGAAUAAGCACCGGCUAACUUCGUG
rnacentral:rRNA from 1 species